UAGCCAAAGGUCUAUAUUCUCUAAGGUGUAUAUUCUCUCACAGAUACCCUCAUUUUGUUUCCUGGUUUCUGUUGAAAUGAUGAUGUGCAAAGUAUAAAUGUUAAUAUGUCAAUGGAAAUA